rnacentral:rRNA from 1 species
GAUGAACGCUGGCGGCGUGCCUAAUACAUGCAAGUCGAGCGAACAGACGAGGAGCUUGCUCCUCUGACGUUAGCGGCGGACGGGUGAGUAACACGUGGAUAACCUACCUAUAAGACUGGGAUAACUUCGGGAAACCGGAGCUAAUACCGGAUAAUAUAUUGAACCGCAUGGUUCAAUAGUGAAAGACGGUUUUGCUGUCACUUAUAGAUGGAUCCGCGCCGCAUUAGCGAGUUGGUAAGGUAACGGCUUACCAAGGCAACGAUGCGUAGCCGACCGGAGAGGGUGAUCGGCCACACUGGAACUGAGACACGGUCCAGACUCCUACGGGAGGCAGCAGUAGGGAAUCUUCCGCAAUGGGCGAAAGCCUGACGGAGCAACGCCGCGUGAGUGAUGAAGGUCUUCGGAUCGUAAAACUCUGUUAUUAGGGAAGAACAAAUGUGUAAGUAACUAUGCACGUCUUGACGGUACCUAAUCAGAAAGCCACGGCUAACUACGUG